ACUUUAUUUUAUGCUAAAACGGUUAAAAAGAUAAUCAUGGCCAAAACGGAGACGUUUUCAUGGCCACAGCAGCACAUGAUGUUGUGAUAAAUCCCAGUUUACUCUAGAAACUUGAUCUUCGAGCAACGGUGAGUGAUGAGGAGCGGUGUUGGAGGACGAUCGUGGCCAUUGACGACAAGAAAUGUCGGAUCUUAAUACCGAUUGUCCCCCCGAUUGCUCUGCUGGGCCAAAAGGAGACAAUCUCUAUAACUGGGUCGCCACCAUCAUCGGUCCCUCAGGAACCCCAUAUGAAGGUGAUAUAUUCUUUCUUGAAAUAGAAUUUACAAGUGACUACUCAUUCAAACCUCCCAAGAGCUGCAGGUGGUAUUUAAAACCCGUAUCUUCCACUGCAAUGUCGAUUCAGGUGGAAACCUUGGUCUAGAGAUGCUGAAAGACGGUUGGAGUCCAGCUUUAACCAUUUCAAUGGUUCUCCAUGCAACCAGAUCUAUUCUUAUGAAUCCUGACCCACAUAACCCAGUUGUUGCAGGAAUUGCCCAAGUGUACCUAACUGACCGGAAGAGCCAUGAUGCAUUAGCUGCAGAAUGGACUCUGCGAUUUGCAAAAUAGUAAUGGAAGCUGAGAUUUUGCAAACUAGUAGAAACUUUGACUUUCCUCCUUUGUGAUCAAGAAGGAUCUUGAUCAUUCAUCCCCUAAUUAGAAAGGGACAUAAAGGCUGUAAAAUUUGAUAAUUUAUUUUUUGUUGGAUAAAUGUCACACAAUCCAUGUAAUUCUGUUCUUGGAUAUUGAUAUCUGGUUUAAACCUUCCCCUAAGUUGAAUUCAUUAACCAAAACCCAACUAUAUUACAAUUUCACUGAAAAUAUUGUUAUUAAAUGAUUAUAAGAUAUAUUAUUGUUAAA